rnacentral:rRNA from 1 species
AUACGUAGGUGACAAGCGUUAUUCGGAUUUACUGGGCGUAAAGGGCGUGUAGGCGGUCUUGCAAGUCAGAAGUGAAAUUCCUGAGCUCAACUCGGGCGCUGCUUCUGAAACUGCAGGACUUGAGUGCUGGAGGGGAUAGCGGAAUUCCUAGUGGAGCGGUAAAAUGCGCAGAUAUUAGGAAGAACACCGAGGGCGAAGGCGGCUUUCUGGACAAUAAGUGACGCUGAGGGGCGAAAGGGUGGGCAGCAAACCGGAUAAGAUCCCCUGGUAUCCCACGCCGUAAACGAUGAAUACUAGGUGUAGGUGGUAUCGACUCCCUCUGUGCCGCAGUUAACACAAUAAGUAUUCCGCCUGGGGAGUACGGCCGCAAGGUUGAAACUCAAAGGAAUUGACGGGG